rnacentral:rRNA from 1 species
UACGAAGGGGGCUAGCGUUGUUCGGAAUUACUGGGCGUAAAGGGCGCGCAGGCGGCUCUUCAAGUCAGAUGUGAAAGCCCCGGGCUCAACCUGGGAACUGCAUUUGAGACUGGAGAGCUCGAGUUCGGGAGAGGAGAGCGGAAUUCCCAGUGUAGAGGUGAAAUUCGUAGAUAUUAGGAAGAACACCAGUGGCGAAGGCGGCUCACUGGUCCGGUACUGACGCUGAGGUGCGAAAGCGUGGGGAGCAAACAGG